rnacentral:rRNA from 1 species
GACGAACGCUGGCGGCGUGCUUAACACAUGCAAGUCGAACGGAAAGGCCCUGCUUUUGUGGGGUGCUCGAGUGGCGAACGGGUGAGUAACACGUGAGUAACCUGCCCUUGACUUUGGGAUAACUUCAGGAAACUGUGGCUAAUACCGGAUAGGAGCUCCUGCUGCAUGGUGGGGGUUGGAAAGUUUCGGCGGUUGGGGAUGGACUCGCGGCUUAUCAGCUUGUUGGUGGGGUAGUGGCUUACCAAGGCUUUGACGGGUAGCCGGCCUGAGAGGGUGACCGGCCACAUUGGGACUGAGAUACGGCCCAGACUCUUACGGGAGGCAGCAGUGGGGAAUAUUGCACAAUGGGCGGAAGCCUGAUGCAGCAACGCCGCGUGCGGGAUGACGGCCUUCGGGUUGUAACCCGCUUUCGCCUGUGACGAAGCGUGAGUGACGGUAAUGGGUAAAGAAGCACCGGCUAACUACGUG